AGUGAACGCUGGCGGUAGGCCUAACACAUGCAAGUCGAACGGCAGCACAGGAGAGCUUGCUCUCUGGGUGGCGAGUGGCGGACGGGUGAGGAAUACAUCGGAAUCUACUUUUUCGUGGGGGAUAACGUAGGGAAACUUACGCUAAUACCGCAUACGACCUACGGGUGAAAGCAGGGGAUCUUCGGACCUUGCGCGAUUGAGUGAGCCGAUGUCGGAUUAGCUAGUUGGCGGGGUAAAGGCCCACCAAGGCGACGAUCCGUAGCUGGUCUGGGAGGAUGAUCAGCCACACUGGAACUGAGACACGGUCCAGACUCCUACGGGAGGCAGCAGUGGGGAAUAUUGGACAAUGGGCGCAAGCCUGAUCCAGCCAUACCGCGUGGGUGAAGAAGGCCUUCGGGUUGUAAAGCCCUUUUGUUGGGAAAGAAAUCCAGCUGGUUAAUACCCGGUUGGGAUGACGGUACCCAAAGAAUAAGCACCGGCUAACUUCGUGCCAGCCGCCGCGGUAA
rnacentral:rRNA from 1 species